UGGGACGUGGCCAAGUGGUAAGGCAACGGGUUUUGGUCCCGUCAUUCGAAGGUUCGAACCCUUUCGUCCCAG
rnacentral:tRNA from 1 species